ACCUGGGCUACACACGUGCUACAAUGGGCGGUACAAAGGGUCGCGAACCCGCGAGGGGGAGCCAAUCCCAAAAAGCCGCUCUCAGUUCGGAUUGCAGGCUGCAACUCGCCUGCAUGAAGCCGGAAUCGCUAGUAAUCGCGGAUCAGCAUGCCGCGGUGAAUACGUUCCCGGGCCUU
rnacentral:rRNA from 1 species